UGCAUAAGGUCUGAAACGCGUAGACGAGACUGUCCUGUACUGGAAGUUUUAUCACUUUAAUAAAAGUUUUCCGCAUUGCUGCAAGAUUGAGCUGGAUUCCGUAUUCUAUUUUUCAAGUCUGCAAGUCAGCCACAUCCCGGAGCUGUUCCGUGCUCAUGGCAAAGAGGAGCAGAUAUGCUGUAGCUGCUGACUGGCUGUUGUAGAUAAAUGGACUGAUGAUGUCACCACGCUCACCCAUCAUGAUCACGUGGUGAUGUCAUAACACUUGCCAAACCUCCUUUGGCAGGUUUUCUUCAAUCAAGAUGGAAGCGGACAGUCUCUCUGCAACUUUUUGGAACCUCAUGGAGCUACAUAACAUCUGUGCAUGAGACAAGCUAAUCUUGAGGAUCCAGCAUGGUGUGGGACAACUAUCAGAAACAGACAGACAAUGGAUCCUGGAAGUUAUGAUAUUGCCCCACAGAGCCCUGAUCUCAGCAUCAUCGAGUCUGUCAAAGAUUACAUGAAGGGACAGAAGAAGUUGAGCAAGUCUAAAUCCACAGAAGAUCUGUGGUUAGUUUUCCGGUAGAUUUGGAACAAUCUCUCUGCUGAGCUCCUUCAAAACUGUGUGCAAGUAUACCUAGAAGAAUUGAUGCUGUCUGGAUGGCACAGUGUGGUCACAACAAAUAUUUAGGGGGUUAUCUAUUAAGAAAAAUACGUUUGUAUUUGGCAUAUUUUCUUUGUGCUGCAAUCUGCGACUUUUCCCCACUCACGCCAGGCCUAAAAAAGUUUGCGUGCCUGUUUUAGGCAUAGAAAAUGGUCUAAAUCUACAUCAGCGAGGGAGCUGGCAUAGAUUUAGAAGCGGACGUGGAUCCGCCUAUGUUAUGUAGAGGCCGGCGCUAGAGCAGGGCCUUAUUAAGACUGGCAUCUAGAACGCCGGUCUUAAUAAAUGAUCCCCUUAGAUUUUUCUUGUUCAUUUAUUUAGCAUUUUGUUAAUCAAUAAAAAUAUACCAUUAACACUACUAUUUUCAGAAGAAUUCUAACUUUGCAACAUUUUCCCCACAUCUGCCUAAAACUUUUGCACAAUACUGUAUAUUUAUUUACUUGUACAUUAAA